rnacentral:rRNA from 1 species
CUAGCGACUUCAGAGUUUGAUCCUGGCUCAGGAUGAACGCUAGCGGCAGGCUUAACACAUGCAAGUCGAGGGGCAGCAUGAGGGUUAGCAAUAACCCUUGAUGGCGACCGGCGCAAGGGUGCGUAACGCGUGAGCAACUUGCCCGUUUCUGGUGGAUAACCGGUGGAAACGCCGACUAAUACACCAUGGUAUUGAGUUUAGGCAUCUUUACUCAAUUAAAGAAUUUCGGAAACGGAUAGGCUCGCGUGACAUUAGCUGGAUGGCGGGGUAACGGCCCACCAUGGCGACGAUGUCUAGGGGUUCUGAGAGGAAGGUCCCCCACACUGGAACUGAGACACGGUCCAG